GCAUAUCAAUAAGCGGAGGAAAAGAAACUAACAAGGAUUCCCCUAGUAGCGGCGAGUGAAGCGGGAAGAGCUCAAAUUUGAAAUCUGGCGUCUUUGGCGUCCGAAUUGUAAUCUAUAGAAGUGUUUUCCGCGCUGGACCAUGUCCAAGUCCCUUGGAACAGGGUAUCAAAGAGGGUGACAAUCCCGUACUUGACAUGACCACCAGUGCUCUGUGAUACACUCUCUACGAGUCGAGUUGUUUGGGAAUGCAGCUCAAAAUGGGUGGUAAAUUCCAUCUAAAGCUAAAUAUUGGCGAGAGACCGAUAGCGAACAAGUACCGUGAGGGAAAGAUGAAAAGCACUUUGGAAAGAGAGUUAAACAGUACGUGAAAUUGUUGAAAGGGAAACGAUUGAAGUCAGUCGUGUUCAUUGGAUUCAGCCGGUCUUCGGUGUACUUCCUUUGAACGGGUCAACAUCAGUUUUGUCCGGUGGAUAAAGGCAGGAAGAAAGUGGCUCUUCGGAGUGUUAUAGCUUUCUGUCACAUACACUGGGGGAGACUGAGGACUGCAGCUCGCAGCAAUGCCGGGGUUCGCCCACGUUCGAGCUUAGGAUGUUGACAUAAUGGCUUUAAACGACCCGUCU
rnacentral:rRNA from 1 species